GACGAACGCUGGCGGCGUGCUUAACACAUGCAAGUCGAACGGAAAGGCCCUGCUUUUGUGGGGUGCUCGAGUGGCGAACGGGUGAGUAACACGUGAGUAACCUGCCCUUGACUUUGGGAUAACUUCAGGAAACUGGGGCUAAUACCGGAUAGGAGCUCCUGCUGCAUGGUGGGGGUUGGAAAGUUUCGGCGGUUGGGGAUGGACUCGCGGCUUAUCAGCUUGUUGGUGGGGUAGUGGCUUACCAAGGCUUUGACGGGUAGCCGGCCUGAGAGGGUGACCGGCCACAUUGGGACUGAGAUACGGCCCAGACUCCUACGGGAGGCAGCAGUGGGGAAUAUUGCACAAUGGGCGGAAGCCUGAUGCAGCAACGCCGCGUGCGGGAUGACGGCCUUCGGGUUGUAACCGCUUUCGCCUGUGACGAAGCGUGAGUGACGGUAAUGGGUAAAGAAGCACCGGCUAACUACGUGC
rnacentral:rRNA from 1 species